CAUACAUAUGCUAGACUCUGUUACAAUUCUUAACUGUAAUGGGAACACCAAAACGAAAAGAUUCGGUAAAUUGAGCAUGUAGCUUUGAGGCAUUAUCAAAGAUCUCAUUCAACAUACUGUCUUGAAAUGCAUCAACAUCAGCGUCAACGCUCCUCGAUGGAUUGAGAGAAUUGAGAUAACAAAGAAGAUUCAAGGGAGAAAGGCUGAUCUGUUCGACAUACCUUGAUCAUCAUCAUAAGGACCAGUAUUUU